AUUAGAUGGCUUUGACUUGGCAUUCAUCGAUUCCCCAAAAAUAUUUCUGUGGAAAGGCAGGCCUCUGUCAGCCCUGCUUUGAGUACCCCCUUUGAAUACUUUUUGUGGCCAUGGACCAUGGCCACGGAUUACCAAAACAUCAUUCAAGAUUUAGAUAACAUUUCUUCAAGCCUUCGCGGACACUCUGUGAUGACAUCAUGCCCCCCCAGGGGUCUGCGGACCACAGGUUGAGAACCGCUGUUCUACAUCAUAUUCCAAUUAAAUAUUUCCCCUGGAUUUGUCUGCAUUUAUCAGCUGGAGUCCUUGUUUCUUCACUGGAAUGUCAUUCUCUGACAAAUAAGUCAAUCACUGAAGACUGUAUUGUGAGGGCAGCUUUGCCAUGUUUGUAAACAUUUCACAAAGUAAAGAAAGUGGAGGUUGUAAGUAUUCUGUGAUGGUUGGUUUCAGUAAGGCAACAGAAUGGUCACUUCUCUGUUAUCCUCUUUUGUGAUUUUGUGAUCUUUCCUUUGAACAUUAAAGUCAUGAAUAUUAAAGUUACUUUCACAAUAGGGUUAUAGUAACAGAAUCUUGUCUGAAUGUGCCUUGACAUCUCCUGACUUUAUUUUAACGAGAAUUAGGAGAGCAAAGUCUGAGAGUCUUUCUCAAAUUCUAUUCCUGCUCUGGGCUCAGAUUUCUCUUAUCUGACUAUUAUCUUGGCUACAGUUUUUCUUUCUCUUCCUUAUUCUUAUAUUCCAUUACAGGUGGCAAAGCAGUUACUUAUUCUGCUUUAAAUCAAAUGAUGUUGAUAAAAUUAGGCAUAGCACCCAACAAUCCAUGUAGUUGACCAUUGUUUGCUCAUUGAAUAUUUUUUUCUAUGGCACAGAAAUAUAUGUAAUGUAACAAAUUGGUUUGUUAUUGUAAAAUACUGGAUAGCCAAAGAAUAUCUUACUUUGGAUGAUUAGUACUCAAAAAUAUUAGAAAUUGUUUUGUUAAAAAAUAGACCUCAGAAACAGAAUGUUCACAAGACAGGAUAAAAUUAUUAAUAGGUUUAUUUAAAUAUGUUUGCAAUUUAUUACAUAUAUUAACAUUUUUCUAAUAUUUACAUACUGUAUAUAUUGUUUUGGGUUUAAAUCUUGAAAGUUGAUGUUUUGUAUUUUUGUGUUUCUCCUCAAAAAUCAUAUAUUAAUGUAUAUGCCAUGCAACACAGAGAUACAAAUAUGUACACCCACACAGUCACACUUGUUUCUAUUUUUUCUUUAUUUGCUCUUGUUUUUCUUCAUUGUUUACUUUCUUUUAAUUCUAGAUUUUAUUGUUUUAAUCAUGGUACCUUGUAAGAUAAGUUUAAAAAGCCAAACCAAACUGAACAAACAAUAAAUUAAAGCAAGUUUGGUCUUCA